rnacentral:rRNA from 1 species
GUCUACAGCCAUACCAUGCUGAAUGCUCCCAAUCUCGUCUGAUCUCAGAAGCUAAGCAGGGUCAGGCCUGGUUAGUACUUGGAUGGGAGAAAAGCCAAAUAUAACCUGUCGACU